GAUGAACGCUGGCGGCGUGCCUAAUACAUGCAAGUCGAACGCCAAAGGAGGAGCUUGCUCUUCUGGCUGAGUUGCGAACGGGUGAGUAACGCGUAGGUAACCUGCCUGGUAGCGGGGGGUAACUAUUGGAAACGAUAGCUAAUACCGCACGACAACAGUUAUUGCAUGAUAACCGUUGAAAAGGGGCAACUGCUCCACUACCAGAAGCAGCUGCGUUGUAUUCGCUAGUUUGUGAGGGAACGGCCCACCAAGGCGACGAUACAUAGCCGGCCGGAGAGGGGUAUCGGCCAACAUUGGACUGGGACACGGCCCAGAACCCUAAGGGGAGCAGCAAGAGGGGAACUUCGGCCAUGGGCGGAAGUCUGAACGAGGACCGCCGGGGUGGUGAAGAAGGGUUUCGGGUCGUAAAGCUCUGUUGUAAGAGAAGAAAGAGUGUGAGGGUGGAAAGUUCACGCUGUGACGGUACCUUACCAGAAAGGGACGGCUAACUUCGUG
rnacentral:rRNA from 1 species